rnacentral:piRNA from 1 species
UCCUUCGGAAGGACCAACAGCGUGC